rnacentral:lncRNA from 1 species
CAGUUUUCAAGUACCUUUGAAGAUUCAACUAGAUGAAGUAUUCAAAGAACACAAAAACUAGUCGGUGAAGUCUACAAAAGUACUCGAAACUAUUAUAUUUGACUAAAAAGUACUCGGGGGCUUGUCGUACAUACAUCUAUGGGCCCACCAGAGGGUUUGGAUGGUCCUAAAUAUAGGGCUGGAUACCGAGACACAUCUGACAUGGAGACCAUUGUUCAAGACGGCGUAGUCUACAUGGAAAGAUAGAAACUAGUCGAGGAUUAGGAAAGCACUCGUUGUAAUAAGAGUAGAACUCCUGUAGUUAUAUCCGAC